AUACGGAGGAUCCGAGCGUUAUCCGGAUUUAUUGGGUUUAAAGGGUGCGCAGGCGGGAGAUUAAGUCGGCGGUGAAAUUUUGCAGCUCAACUGUAAAAGUGCCAUCGAUACUGGUUUUCUUGAGUGUGGAUGAAGUAGGCGGAGUUUGUGGUGUAGCGGUGAAAUGCAUAGAUAUCACGAGGAACUCCGAUUGCGCAGGCAGCUUACUAGGACAUAACUGACGCUCAGGCACGAAGGCGUGGGGAUCAAACAGGAUUAGAUACCCUGGUAGUCCACGCAGUAAACGAUGAUUACUCGCUGUUUGCGAUACACAGUAAGCGGCUUAGCGAAAGCGUUAAGUAAUCCACCUGGGGAGUACGUUCGCAAGAAUGAAACUCAAAGGAAUUGACGGGG
rnacentral:rRNA from 1 species